rnacentral:rRNA from 1 species
AUGUACAUUCUUACAACAUAGAAUUAAUGCACUGAAUCCCAUUAGAAAUCUACAGUUAAACACGCUCGAUCUAGAGUAGUACUAAGAUGGGUGACCGCUCAGGAAGUCCUAAUGUUUUACAUG